UACGUAGGGCGCGAGCGUUGUCCGGAAUUAUUGGGCGUAAAGAGCUCGUAGGCGGCUUGUCACGUCGGGUGUGAAAGACCGGGGCUUAACUCCGGUUCUGCAUUCGAUACGGGCUAGCUAGAGUGUGGUAGGGGAGAUCGGAAUUCCUGGUGUAGCGGUGAAAUGCGCAGAUAUCAGGAGGAACACCGAUGGCGAAGGCAGGUCUCUGGGCCAUUACUGACGCUGAGAAGCGAAAGCAUGGGGAGCGAACAGG
rnacentral:rRNA from 1 species